AAGACGAGCUGAAAAAGGAGCCAGGCACUGAAGGACAAAGCGGUAUUGACUUUCUUCAUCUGUGUUUCCCAGUGCGGUCCAAUUCACUGUGGUAGAAUUCAUGUAUUUAUUUUCCGUCGGCUUGUAUUUGCAAACUUUUGAUGUUAUUGAUUUUUGGUUGGAGAGUUUCGGUUUGAAAAAGUAGAUAUUCUGAAGAUGGAGGUUGUCCAAGAUUGUAUCUCAAGGCUCUACUGACCAAGAACAAAUCACAGACUCAGAGAGCAUCAUAAAAAGGCCCAGACCCACAAUGCCCAGAGAAUCCAGGCUCAACCCACAUUGAUGCUGGCCCUUCAGCCGUGAGACUCCAUGUGCUUCUCCUUAUUCUCCUUCUUUUUUCAAUUCUCUUAUCCCCAGUAAGAGGUGCUUUGGGUCCUGCGGAAGUUCAUUGUCUCAGUUUGUCUGGUGUUUGCAGAAGAGAUGUCUGCAAAGUAGUAGAAGAUCAAAUUGGUGCCUGCCGAAGAAGGAUGAAG
rnacentral:lncRNA from 1 species